AUAAAGAGGCGUAAAGAAUUUGGCAAGGGGAACUUUCUAACUUAGGGAUAAGAAUGGUGUUUAUCGGGCGACUGUAUAGCAAAUACACAGGCUUUAGUUAAAGAUGUUUAUAUUUUUGAACUGAUAUGUGACCAGUGUU
rnacentral:rRNA from 18 species